rnacentral:rRNA from 1 species
UCGGGAAUAUUGCGCAAUGGAGGAAACUCUGACGCAGUGACGCCGCGUGCAGGAAGAAGGUUUUCGGAUUGUAAACUGCUUUAGACAGGGAAGAUACAAGACAGUACCUGUAGAAUAAGCUCCGGCUAACUACGUGCCAGCAGCCGCGGUAAUACGUAGGGAGCAAGCGUUAUCCGGAUUUAUUGGGUGUAAAGGGUGCGUAGACGGGAAAUUAAGUUAGUUGUGAAAUCCCUCGGCUUAACUGAGGAACUGCAACUAAAACUGGUUUUCUUGAGUGCUGGAGAGGAAAGUGGAAUUCCUAGUGUAGCGGUGAAAUGCGUAGAUAUUAGGAGGAACACCAGUGGCGAAGGCGACUUUCUGGACAGUAACUGACGUUGAGGCACGAAAGUGUGGGGAGCAAACA